rfam:[Clostridium] paradoxum JW-YL-7 = DSM 7308 strain JW-YL-7 ctg1, whole genome shotgun sequence.
CGCGGGGUGGAGCAGUUGGCAGCUCGUCGGGCUCAUAACCCGAAGGUCGUAGGUUCAAGUCCUACCCCCGCAA